UGGGGGUUAGAAAAGUGAUUUACUCCCCUUUUUCCAGUGCCAUGUGGAACUCCUCACUUCUGACCCUGCCGAGAUCGACCUCCUUGGCUAACACAAUCAGAAUUAAUGAUCUAAGCCAAUCAAAAUGCUUUCCCAUUGGAAAGCAUUGGAUUUGCUGUUAUCGUCAAUUCUGAAGAUCUCAGUCAAGUAGGUGGAACCAAACGCAGACUUGGCCAAUCAGCAUCUCCU